CCCCUCACCGUGGCCUUGGCCGUGAGCACCAACGCCUCCUGGUUGAUGCUGGACACCUCGGGGGAGCUCUUCAUGAUGACCCGGAUGCGGGAUAGAGGCAGCGAGAUGAGCCGCUGCUCCCCGCCCUUGUCUUUACCCACGACCACGUCCGCCAUCUUCCCGCCCGUCGCGCGGGUGCCCGCAGCCGGCGGGCCCGACCGCGAAGUGGCUGCCCUGCCCGGCCAGCUGGUGGGUACGGGGAGCCGCGCCCGCUGCCCCGUGGGAGUUGUAGUGUGGGGAGGCGAGGCCGCGAGGCCGGGAGCGGCCCGUCCGGGAAACUACGAGCUCCGUGAGGCCUCGCGCCCCCGAUCUGCGCAUGCGCCGACGCUCGGACACCGCCCCCGAGUGCGAGGCCCGGCGCGGAACCGGCAGCCGAGAGCCUGGCGGGGGCGGGGCGCACCGCGCCGCUCCCGGGAGUCUCCGGGCUGCGGUCGCGGAAUACGACUUUGAUCCGCGGGUGAGGGCUCUGUGAAUGGGCAAGCAAAGCCCUCUGACUCCGGGCCUCGUGGCUGGGUGCUGUGUGUUAAGCGCCUGCGCUGUACUAGGACCGGGCGUGCCGCCGUCGGCAAAAAGUGACGCUUUCUUGAAGCACAAAGUCCAGGGGGGACGACCAAGCGGACAGCGGAUGCGUCCUGCGCCGGUAGCCAGGCGACCGGUGGAAGAGCAGAGUCCAGCGCGGGCGAUGCGGCGGGGCCAGGCUUGCUGCGCCGCGGGGUGAUUGGGAGAAGAGCCUUCCUGCGGGGUGGAGGACGAAGAGCUGCCCUGAGGAGGUCCCGGAGUCUGGUGGGAACGGCCUCUUCGGGACUGCUCCGAGAGACGGUGUGCAGAGCCUGGCGUGCUCGCCGAGGUCUGACAGGCAGCCCGGGGCUAGGUCCUGUUGGAUUUUUUUUUCUAAGGAAAAUGGGAAGUGGUGGUAGGGUUUGAGCAGUGGAGUCCCGGGCAGUUUUAAAAGGAUCCCUGCAGCUGCCGGCUGGGAGGGCGUGGGUGCGCGUAAGGCCGGAAUCACAGAGACCAGGUAGAAGAUGAUUACGAGAACCCAGGAACGUGGCCCUCAGGAGGCCGGCAGUACCAAGGGGACAGCAGCUGGGAGGAGAGAGGCAGGAGAUGGUCAGGGGCCAGACCAGGGAAGGCCGCGGAGACCGCAGAAUUCGCUCUGAAUGAGUGGGGAGGCCCUUGGAAGAGUAAGGGGUCCAACUUAACUUUUUUUUUUUUUUUUUUUUUUGACACAGAGUCUCGCUCUGUCGCCAGGCUGGAGUGCAGUGCGAUCUCGGCUCACUGCAACCUCCAACACCCCGAUUCAAGCAAUUCUCCUGCCUCAGCCUCCUGAGUAGCUGGGAUUAUAGGCACGCGCCACCCAGCUAAUUUUUUGUAUUUUUAGUAGAGACGGGUUUUCACCAUGUUGGCCAGGAUGGUCUCGAUCUCCUGACCUCGUGAUCCGCCCGCCUCGGCCUACCAGAGUGCUGCGAUUACAGGCGUAAGCCACCGCGCCUGGCCACCAACUUAACUUCUGCCAGGAUCAUGGGAAGUGGUAGGGUUUGGGGUCUGAUUUCAAGAGGGAGCUGCUGUGGAGUAUCAGCACAGCUUACUGAGAUAUCAGAAAGGCCUUGGUAAAGAGCCCUUUACUGAGACAGGGAGCACAUUUUGGCAGAGGUUUGAAUUGGAGCGUGUUAAGUGUAGUGUCUUCUUCACCACUGUGACGUGAGGUCCUGGCGCAAAUAAUUGAGCACAGAAAUACAUGUCAGGCAUUGCUAGGCACAAGGGUACAGCCAGUGAGCAGGGCUGCCAUGGUCCCUGCCCUCUUAGAGCUGACCUUCAGGUCUGAGGGAGACUGAAAAAUAAGUAAGAAUACCUCCAGCCGGGCGCUUUGGCUCACGCCUGUAAUCCCAGCACUUUGGGAGGCCAAGGUGGGUGGAUCACCUGAGGUCAAGAGUUCGAGACCAGCCCAACCAAUAUAGUCAAACCCCAUCUCUACUGAAAUUAUUAAAAUUAGCUGGGCGUGGUGGUGGGCACCUGUAAUGCCAGCUACUCGGGAGGCUGAGGCAGGAGAAUCGCUGGAACCCAGGAGGCAGAGGUUACAGUGAUCCGGGAUCGCGCCACUGCACUCCAGCAGCCUGGGCGACAGAGGGAGACUCCAUCUCAAAAAAAAAAAAAAAAAAAAAAUACACCUCCAAUGCUGAAAGCUACGAAGGAAACAAAACCAUGUGCGAGUGAUAGGGCAGCCCCUCUGGGAAGUGACAUUUGUGCCCAGAUCUGAAGAAAGAAAAGGAGCCACUCAUACAGAAAGACUGAGACAAGAUGAGCUUUCGGGACAAGUCAGGCUCUAGGGAGAACACCUGACGAGGAAAAUGCCUGGGCAGUUUGAGGAACUGAAAAGCCAGUGUGUCUGGAGCUUAGUGAGGGAGGCAGAGAGCACGGGAGGUGUGGUUACCAAGGUAGGUGGGACCGGCUCUGGCCCUGGGUAAAAAGUUUGACUUUCAUUCCAAGAGUAAUGGAAAAUAAUGAAGAAUUUUGAACUCGAGGUGGUGCAUGCCUGUAAUCCCAGCACUUUGGGAGGCUGAAGCAGGCAGAUCGCUUGAGCCCAGGAGUUUGAGAUUAGCCCGGGCAGCAUAACAGGGCAGCAUCUCUACAAAAAUUUUAUUUUUGGCCGGGCGCGGUGGCUCACACCUGUAAUCCCAGCACUUUGGGAGGCCGAGGGGGGGCAGAUCUCCUGAGGUCAGGAGUUCGAGACCAGCCUGACCAACAUGGCGAAACCCCGUCUCUACUAAAAAUACAAAAAAUUAGCCGGGCAUGGUGGCACGCGCCUGUAAUCCCAGCUACUUAGGAGGCUGAGGCAGGAGAAUCGCUUGAACCCGGGAGGCGGAGGUUGCAGUGAGCCAAGAUCACGCCACUUGCACUCCAGCCUGGGCAACAAGAGAGAAACUCCAUCUCAAAAACAAACAAAUCCAGACCAGCCUGGCUAACAUGGCAAAACCCCCUCUCUACUAAAAAUAGAAAAAUUGGCUGGGCAUGGUGGUAAGCACCUGUAAUCUCAGCUGCAUUGGCGGCUGAGGCAGGAGAAUCACUUGAACUCAGAAGGUGGAGGUUGCAGUGAGCACAGAUCACACCACUGCACUCCAGCCUGGGCAACAGAGCAAGACUCUCAAAAAAAAAAAGUUUUGAAGGGAGCAGAUCCACUUUAAAAGCUCACACUGGUUCUUGAGUGAUGACCAAAUGGCACUGUGCCUUAUGCAGAGCCGACUCCUGGCAGUUUGCACAGGCUGGAGGUGGAGCUGCAGACUCCCUCUCCCUCUCGGCCUUGCCUCUGUAAAUGGGAAAGCCGUUGACAUUCACAAAAGAGGGGCAGGGAACUGCUACACAAGAGCAGCUACACAAGAGGGUCCUUUGGUCCACACAGGAAACAAGCCAUAGUGAUGACAUAUUUUGAAGCUGUUAGAUGUUUUGUUUCCCUAGCUGGCUAUUAUUUUUGUAUGGCUUGUCUUUCUCUUUUGAGUAUGUGUGAGAACAGGAUGGGUUAACAUUAGGGAAGAGCACAGAAGAGGAAGGAAGGAAAGAAGGAAGGGAGGGAGGGAAAGGAGAGAGAAUAGGGAUGAGAAGCUCAGCUUGUAGAAUUGGCAGGUGAUGUUUGCAGUCAUUAAUCAUUUGAGAAGUAGAGAGAGAAGCCAAGCAGGAAAUCUUCAUACUGGAAAAGAAGUGCUCACCAUUAAAAAAAAAAAAAAAAAAAAUCCAGUGUGGUUCACAGCUGUAAUCCCAUCACUUGGAGGCUGAGGCAGGAGAAAUACGUGAAGCCAGGAGUUUGAGACCAGCCUGGGCAAUAUAACAAGACCCACAUCUCUACAAAGAGAAAAAAAAUGUAAAAAAAAGAAGCUUUAAACCUAAGACGGCAGAAUUCAAGACUGUUGUCCUUGAGAACUUCCUGGCUCUGGAAAAAGCUCAGCUGGGGUCAGCCCAUCUGACUUGGGCGAAGGUCUACACAUCUCUGCUUCCUCGCUGUGAUCUCCCAGAUAACCGCCCGUGAAGAAGUCUGUGCCCUCGGCCCUAAGCUGUGAACCUGCUGCCUUCCAUGGCAAAAGGGACUGUGGAGGUGUGAGUCAGUUCAUGACCUUGACUGGGGAGGUGAUCCUGGGUUACUUAGGUGGCCCAGCGGAAUGGCAUGAACCCCAGAAGAGGAGGACAAAGGCAGAAGAGCCCGUCUGAGAGAAGUGACGGCAGAGGAGGAGGCAGGGAGGUGCCGUGUGCUCAUCAGCCAUCAUCGGCUUUGCAAGCUGGUAGGGGGCUGCCCGUAGACGCUGAGACUGGUCCCCACUGACCCCAGCAAGGUGACAACACCUCAGUCCCAUACUGCAAGGAUCUGCAUUCUGCAGACAAUGCAAAUGAGCACAGAAAAGGGAUUCUCCACUGGCCCCCAUUACGGAACUGCAGGGUUAUACAUUGUGCCGUUGUCAGCCUCUAACUUUGUAGAAGUUUGUGAUGGCAGCAAAGAAAACAAAUGGACUCUGCGAACUCCCUUUCCCUGGGGAGGAGGGGCUGGUCCUCAUCCGGUCCUGGGGUGGCCCCGGGCCCCGCUCUCCUGAAUGGAUGUGCAAGGCCAUUUCUCUGUGGUCUCUGUCUGGAACGUGGGCGCAGACGGGAGCUUGGGAAGUCCAAGCUUACUUGGCUUUGUGCCCAAACCAAGCUCUGGAUAUGAGUGCACUUGUUUAAAAAAAAAAAAAAAAAAAAAGGCAAGCACUGACCCACUUUUUCCUGACUGCUCUGGCUCAGACACUUCCCUCUAAAAGGACAUUUAUUUCAAGAACACGCUGUUCCCAGGGCUGACAUCCCCCACCUCCACUGGAAGCAGAAGCACUAACAAGAGACUGCAAGAUCUGGCGUCCGGUAUCUGAUAAUGGAGCAAAUGUUCCACCGAAAGCUGGGCCUGAUGGCUGCAUCCGCCUGGCGCUGGAGGGGCUGGGAGUUUGGCCUGAGCAAACUCAGUUGCUUAAAACAACACAAAUUUAUUUAUUUUUUUAAUUUUAUCUUUUUAAGUCCCAGGCUACAUACGCAGGCUGUGCAGGUUUGUUGCAUAGGUAAAUGUGUGUCACGGUGGUUUGCUGCACCUAUCAACCCAUCAUCUAGGUUUAAGCACAGCAUGCCUUAGCUGUUUUUUCUAAUGUUCUGCCCCCACCCCCCACCAGGACCCCAGUGUGUGUGGUUCUCCUCCCUGAGCCCACGUGUUCUCGUUGUUCAGCUCCCACUUAUAAGUGAGAACAUGCAGUGUUUAGUUUUCUGUUCCUGUGUUAGUUUGCUGAGGAUAAUGGCUUCUAGCUCCAUCCAUGUCCCUGAAAAGACAUGAUCUUGUUCCUUUUUCUUUUUUUUGAGACAGUUUCCCUCUCGUUGCCCAGGCUGGAGUGCAAUGGCCCGAUCUCAGCUCACUGCCUCCCAGGUUCAAGCGAUUCUCCUGCCUCAGUCUCCUGUGUAGCUGGGAUAACAGGCAUGCACCACCACACCCAGCUAAUUUUGUAUUUUUAGUAGAGGUGGAGUUUCACCGUGUUAAUCGGGCUGGUCCCGAACUCCUGAUCUCAGGUGAUCCACCCACCUCUGCCUCCUGAAGUGCUGGGAUUAUAGGCAUGAGCCACCACGCUUGGCCUUAUUCCUUUUUAUGGCUGCAUAUUAUUCCACAGUGUAUGAUAUGGUUUGACUCUGUGUCCCCACCCAAACCUCAUCUAGAAUUGUACUCCCAUAAUUCCCACAUGUUGUAGGAGGAAACUGGUGGGAGAGAAUUUGAAUCAUGGGUGCGGUUCCCCCAUAUUGUUCUUAUGAUAGUUAAUAAGUCUCAUGAGAUCUGAUGGUUUUAUCAGGGGUUUCCGCUUUUGCAUCUUCCUCAUCUUCUCUUGCCACCACUAUGUAAGAAGUGCCUUUCACCUCCUGCCAUGAUUCUGAGGCCUCCCCAGCCAUGUGGAACUGUAACUCCAAUUAAACCUCUUUUUCUUCCCAGUCUCGGGUAUGUCUUUAUUAGCAGCGUGAAAACCCACUAGUACAGUAAAUUGGUACCAGCAGAGUGGGGCGUUGCUGAAAAGAUACCUGAAAAUGUAGAAGCAACUUUGGAACUGGGUGACAGGCAGAGGUUAGAACAGUCUGGAGGGCAAAGAAGAAGACAGGAAAAUGUGGGAAAAGUUUGGAACUUCCUAGAGACUUGUUGAAUGGCUUUGCCCAAAAUGCUGAUAGCAAUGUGGACAAUAAGGUCCAGGCUGAGGUGAUCUAAGAUGGAGAUGAGAAACUUGGGAACUAGAGCAAAGGUGACUCUUGUUAUGUUUUAGCCAAGAGACUGGCAGCAUUUUGCCCCUGCCCUAGGGAUUUGUGGAACUUUGAACUUGAGAGGGAUGAUUUAGGGUGUCUGGUGGAGGAAAUUUCUAAGCAGCAAAGCAUUCGAGAGCUGACUUGGGUGUUGUUAAAAGCAUUCAGGUUUUUUUUUUGUUUUUUUUUAGCGGAGUCUUGCUCUGUUGCCCAGGCUGGAGUGCAGUGGUGCGACCUUGGCUCACUGCAACCUCUGCCUCCUGGGUUCAAGCAAUUCUCCUCCCUCAGCCUCCAGAGUAGCUGGGACUACAGACGUGCGACACCACACCCGGCUAAUUUUUGUAUUUUUAGUAGAGAUGUGGUUUCACCAUGUCAGCCAGGCUGGUCUGGAACUCCUGACCUCAGGCAAUCCACCCACCUCAGCCUCCCAAAGUGCUGAGAUUACAGGUGUGGGCCACCAUGCCCAGCCUAAAAGCAUUCAGUUUGAAAAGGGAAACAGAGUACUAAAGUUUGAAAAAUUUGCAGCCUGACAAUGCAAUAGAAAAGAAAAUCCCAUUUUCUGAGGAGAAAUUCAAGCCAGCUAUAGUAAUUUGCAUAAGUAACAAGGAGCCAAAUGUUAAUGCCCAAGACAAUGGGGAAAAUGUCUCCAGGGCAUGUCAGAGGACUUCACUGCAGCUCCUCCAUCACAGGCCCAGAGGCCUAGGAGGAAAAAGUGGUUUCAUGGGCUGGGCUCAGGGUCCCCGAGUUGUGUGCAGCCUAGGGAUUUGGUGCCCUUCAUCCCAGCCACUCUGGCUGUGGCUGAAAGGGGCCAACAUAGAGCUUGGGCCGUGGCUUCCGAGGGUGCAAGCCCCAAUCCUUAACAGCUUCCAUGUGGUGUUGAGCCUGCAGGUGUCCAGAAGUCAAGAAUUGAGGUUUGGGAACCUCCACCUAGAUUUCAGAAGAUGUAUGGAAAUGCCUGGAUGCCCAGGCAGAAGUUUGCUGCAGGGUGGGACUCUCAUGGAGAGCCUCUGCUAGGGUAGUGCAGAAGGGAAACGUGGGGUCAGAGCCCCCACACAGAGUUCCUACUGGGGCACUACCUAGUGGAGCUGUGAGAAGAGGGCGCCUGUCGUCCAGACCCCAGAAUGGUAGAUCCGCUGACAGCUUGCACCAUGUGCCUGGAAAAGGCACAGACACUGAACGCCAGCCAGGGAAAGCAGCCAGGAGGGAGGCUGUACCCUGCAAAGCCACAAGGGCAGAGCUGCCCAAGACCAUGGGAACCCACCUCUUGCGUCAGCAUGACCUGGAUGUGAGAUCUGGAGUCAAAGGAGAUCAUUUUGGAGUUUUAAGAUUUGACUGCCCUGCUGGAUUUCGGACUUCCAUGGGCCCUGUAACCCCUUUGCUUUGACCAAUUUCUCCCAUUUGGAAUAGCUGUAUUUUCCCAAUAACCUGUGCCCCCACUGUAUCUAGGAAGUAACUAGCUCGCUUUUGAUUUUACAGGUUCAUAGGCAGAAGGGACUUGCCUUGUCUCAGAUGAGACUUUGGACUGUGGACUUUUGAGUUAAUGCUGUGGACUUUUGAGUUAAUGCUGAAAUGAGUUAAGACUUUGGGGGACUGUUGGGAAGGCAUGUUUGGUUUUGAAAUGUGAGGACAUGAGAUUUGGAGGGGCCAGAGGUGUAAUGAUAUGGUUUGACUCUGUCCCCACCCAAAUCUCAUCUCGAAUUGUACUCCCAUAAUUCCAACAUGUUGUGGGAGGAAGCCAGUGGGAGAUAAUUUGAAUCAUGGGGGCAGUUCCCCCAUACUGUUCUUGUGGUAGUGAGUAAGUCUUAUGAGAUCUGAUGGUUUUAUCAGGGGUUUCUGCUUUUGUAUCUUCCUCAUUUUUCCCCUGCCACCGCCAUGUAAGAAGUCCUUUCACCUCCUGCCAUGAUUCUGAGGCCUCCUCAGUCAUGUGGAACUGUAAGUCCAAAUAAACCUCUUUUUCUUCCCAGUCUCAGGCAUGUCUUUAUCAGCAGCAUGAAAAUGGACUAAUACAGUGUAUAUGGACCACAUUUUCUUCAUCCAGUCUAUCACUGAUGGGCAUUUGGGUCGGUUCCAUGUCUUUGCUAUUGUGAAUAGUGCUGCAAUGAACACAUGCAUGCAAGUAUCUUUAUAAUAGAAUUUAUAUUCCUUUGGGUAUAUACCCAGUAAUGGGAUUGCUGGGUCAAAUGGUAUUUCUGGUUCUAAAUCUUUGAGGAAUUGCAAUGCUGUCUUCCACAAUUGUUGAACUAGUUUACAUUCUCAACAACAAUGUAAAAGCGUUCCUGUUUCUCUGCAACCUCAUCAGCAUCUGUUGUUCUUGACUUUUUAAUAAUCGCCAUUCUGACUGGCAUGAGAUGGUGUCUCAUUGUGGUUUUUAUUUGCAUUUCUCUAUGAUCAGUGAUGUUGAGCUUGUUUUUGGAACAAACUAGAGAACUCAGAAAUAUAACCACAUAUCUACAACCAUCUGAUCUUUGACAAACCUAACAAAAAUAAGCAAUGGGGAAUGGAUUUCCUAUUUAAUAAAUGGUGCUGGGAGAACUGGCUAGCCAUAUGCAGAAAAUUGAAACUGGACCCCUUCC
rnacentral:lncRNA from 1 species